rnacentral:RNase_P_RNA from 1 species
GAUGGCUGGAAGAUCGCUGCUGUAUUUUUAUGAAUACAGGAGAGGAAAGUCCGGGCACCACGGAAGAGCAGUGCUGGUUAACGACCAGCGAAGGUAACUUCAGGGAAAGUGCCACAGAAAGUAAACCGCCAGCCGAGGCUGGUAAGGGUGAAAGGGUGCGGUAAGAGCGCACCGCCUUUUUGGUGACAGAAAGGGCAUGGUAAACCCCACUGGGUGCAAAAUCGAAUAGGAACGACUGGCUUUGGCCACUUAUUUUUUCGAAGUGUCGUUCGGGUUGAUUGCAAGAGGCUGUUGGUAACAAUAGCCCUAGAUGAAUGAUCUUACAGGUGGGCAACCACCGGACAGAACCCGGCUUAUAGGCCAUCUGA